AUGAACGCUAGCGGGAGGCCUAACACAUGCAAGCCGAGCGGUAUUUGUCUUUCGGGACAGAGAGAGCGGCGUACGGGUGCGUAACACGUGUGCAACCUGCCUUUAUCUGGGGGAUAGCCUUUCGAAAGGGAGAUUAAUACCCCAUAAUAUAUUUGAUGGCAUCAUUAGAUAUUGAAAACUCCGGUGGAUAGAGAUGGGCACGCGCAAGAUUAGAUAGUUGGUGAGGUAACGGCUCACCAAGUCGAUGAUCUUUAGGGGGCCUGAGAGGGUGAUCCCCCACACUGGUACUGAGACACGGACCAGACUCCUACGGGAGGCAGCAGUGAGGAAUAUUGGACAAUGGGUGCGAGCCUGAUCCAGCCAUCCCGCGUGAAGGACUAAGGCCUUAUGGGUUGUAAACUUCUUUUAUACUGGGAUAAACCUACUUACGCGUAAGUAGCUGAAGGUACAGUAUGAAUAAGCACCGGCUAACUCCGU
rnacentral:rRNA from 1 species